rnacentral:lncRNA from 1 species
GUUUUAGUUUAUGGUGGAUUUAUCACCCUGUCUCUGUCAGCUUUCCAUUUUUGAUUGACCCCGUGGUGUGAGACUUCCUUCUGAGCCCUAGGACAUCCUCGGAUGUUCGCGAGCUUUGACAGCCUUGUAACCUUACACUCCUGGAAUCAGAUUUAUUUCCCUGUUGAAUGUGUUCUCUCUUUGGCGCUUCAUUUCUAGUUUCGGUUGUUUGUUUUGUUUUGUUUUGUUUUUUGUACCCUUCCCACAAGUGUGCAUCAUUUUGCACCUGUGGGUCCAACUCCCUGAUGGUCGUAAGCAGUGCUGUAGUCCCAUUAAUGGUAAUGAUAAUUACGUCCAUGUCUUUUGAUACCUAGCUUCAUCUUUUCAUUCUGUCUCACCCUUCACACAGUACAGGUGCCAUAAGAGUGAGGACUUCAUUUUCAGGAGUGUAUUUUUGGUCUCGAGGAUGACUGCUGAUAUAUAAUACUCAAUAUUGUUCAUCCAGUUGUUUCUCUUUUUUAAUUUGUAUGUCAUGCAUCUUUUAAAUCAUCUACAAGAAUAAAUCAGUCAAAAAUAUCACUCAUGCUGUUGUAGAGGUAUAUGCUAUAUAUGUAGGUUAUUUUAUUUGUGUGGGUAUGUGUGUAUAUGUAUGUUGUUUGCUUGUGUGUGCAUGAAUGCAUGCAGACACACAUGUACAGGCAAGUGUCGAGUCCAGGAGUCUUUCCUGAGUGCUGUCCUUUAUGGCCCUCUGUUGAUUUUGUUUAAGACAGGUCUCUGACUGGAACUGGGCUCACUGUUUCCUCUAGGCCAGCAGGCCAAGGAGGCCCUGGGAGCCUCCUGUCUCCAUUGUCUCAGAGCUAGGGCUAAAGUGUGCUCUGCUGCAGCCAUACUUUGUGUUGGUGCUCGCUAGCACUCAUACUCAUGGAGACCCACACUCGUGGCCUCAUGCCUGUGGAGCAAGCCCUUUACCCACACAGCCGUUUCCCCAGCUCUCUAGAUUUUUAUUUUCAAAAAUGCUUUAAAAAGUUAUCUCAUUACCAAAGUUUAUUUCAGAGCUACUGAUUAAUUUCAAUUGCCAUUGUUGCAAUGCAGUGUUAGGGGGUGGUGAAAAUUCAGCAUUUUAAUUAUUUUUAGCUUAUUCUGCUUUAAAGUUUCUAUUAUUUACUACUGCAUUGAAAAUAAGUAAAAUGUCUAACAUGUCCCAAUGAGUUUUAAAUAUGCUUUAUUUGUGUUGUGAGACAUUUUGCCCAACAGGAUUUAAUAUCUUAGAUAAAAUAUCUAUUACAAAAAAACAUUAAAUACUGGGGUUAGCCUUAAGAAAUGUAGGCAUAUGUACAUUUGAACAUUGGGCCAUUCUAAGAUAAACAUUUUGGAAAUAAUAAUAAUAAAAAUGAAACCAUUCAUAAAACAAGGAGGCAAUACUUAAACUACAAGUAACAUUUUUUUCUCUACCAUCAUUGUUUCUGUGUAUAACCUUAUUUACAGGUAAGCAACCACAGGAAUUUAACAAACUAAAGAAAUAUUGCUCUAAAUAGAAAUGCUCAAAUUUGAUCAAUCAGAUCUAUAAGCCUUAUUAAUAGUAACAGCACAUUUGGACACACUACCCAUACAAUUCAUCUAAAUACAUUAAUUUGACCUUUGUUUUAAAUCUUAAUUUUAAAUGAACAUUUUGAAAACUUUUAGAAUAGUUUUAAGUGUAUAAUUGCAUACCAUUUGAAAUGCUUUGUUUUUGCUUGUGUUCUCUAAGCUUUUUUCCAUUGAAUCUGUGCUGCUUCUUUGCCAAUGUUUUCCACUGUAGACUCUCCAUCUCGCAACCUUGCUUCUCGUGAGCGCAUUUACAAACAUUUGGGUGUAGCUGGGCCUGCCUCUGCUCUCUCAUCUCUGUCUCACAAACUGCAGGGUGGGUAUGCAUGCAUCGUGAGCACCUGGGCCAUUCGUAGUGAAUGGAGGAGGAGCCUGCAAACCUUCAUUUCACCAUUGUCCUGUGUGUCCCAUUCCAGAUGUUAAAUUAAGCUUUAUCAUUUUAUUUAGAAUUUUGUGUUUGAAAUUAUGAUGUAUCUGUUUAUAUUAUAUUGUAUUAUAAUUUAUCCUAUUAUGUAUGUUUAUCAUACCUGGGGUUCAGAUAUCAUUCCUGUUAGUCUUUAAAGCUUUGUAAGGUCUUAGGAGUAUGAAAAGGAUUGCCACAAGACGAUGUAUGUGAAUUGUAAAACUUGGAUAAAUGUGGUUUCUCAUGGACAAGCUGGAUCGCAAAUUUGCAGUGCUGUAUGUAGCCUGACUAAGCAGCCUACCAUUCUAAUUACUAUAGAAAUAUUUUGGAAAUUAAGUUAAAAGCUUUUUAAAAACUUGAUUAUUAAUAAGUAAUACAGGCACAAGUGUCCCCACACACUACCCCUUUCUAUGAUGACUCUUUCUUACAGUAUUUUAAUAGUGACCUAAUUUAAAACUUUUACAUUUGGAAGUGCUCAGUGAUUAACAGACACAGUUUCAAAUAUUUAAAAGUAUGCACUUGGUUCUUUAGAGUAUAACAAAUGCUUACUCAAGUCCUUUUGCCAUAAUGUAAUCUUUAAUUAAAGGUAAGGACACUUGCCGCCAAGGGUGGCAUCCUCUCUUGGAUACCUGUAACUUACAUGAUGGAAAGAGAGAUUGUCCUCUGAUAUCCACAUGCACACAUGCCCACACGCACACACACACACACACACACACACACACACGCGCGCGCGCACACCACAGAUAAAUAAGUAUGAAACAAAACCUUUAAGAAAAAAAGAAACAUAUAAAUGGUAAAAAUUAGUACAAUAAAUAGGACCACAAAUCAGAUUCAUGUAUGAUAUAUAGACUAUCAGGUCAUAUAACCAAAUAAUAUGCCAUAUAGUAUGACGUAUUUAUUAAUAUAGUAUUACUUGUAUCAUAUCCUAGCAUGAUAUUAUAUGCCCUGAUUAUAAUUUUGCUAAUAAAAAUGAUAUUAAUGAUUUAAUGAAUAAAUCCUUCCUAUUUAACAUGUUCAGUAACAUUUAAUUUGGUUGACUAUACAACGUUUUUAGCUCAUUCUUUGUAAGGAUUCCUUAUAGGUUAAAAUUUCUUUCCUACUAUUUAAGUUUACAUAUUAUAAACAUAAUUAUGAAAACAAAUUAACUUCUGAAUGUGAAGGUAUGUGUUGUCCAAUAAUUUUAAUGAAGUAUUUGGGUUUUUUUGUUGUUGUUAUUUUGGGAUAUCAACAUGAUAAUUUUUAGUAACACUUAAUACAUGCUGCAAAAUUACUUGAAAGCCAGAUG